GCCGCGUGAGUGAUGAAGGCUUUCGGGUCGUAAAACUCUGUUGUUAGGGAAGAAAAGUACGAUAGUGGCUGCUCGUACCUUGACGGUACCUAACCAGAAAGCCACGGCUAACUACGUGCCAGCAGCCGCGGUAAUACGUAGGUGGCGUGCGUUAUCCGGAAUUAUUGGGCGUAAAGCGCGCGCAGGCGGUUUCUUAAGUCUGAUGUGAAAGCCCACGGCUCAACCGAGGAGGGUCAUUGGAAACUGGGGAACUUGAGUGCAGAAGAGAAGAGCGGAAUUCCACGUGUAGCGGUGAAAUGCGUAGAGAUGUGGAGGAACACCAGUGGCGAAGGCGGCUUUUUGGACUGUAACUGACGCUGAGGCGCGAAAGCGUGGGGAGCAAACAGGAUUAGAUACCCUGGUAGUCCACGCCGUAAACGAUGAGUGCUAAGUGUUAGAGGGUUUCCGCCCUUUAGUGCUGCAGCUAACGCGUUAAGCACUCCGCCUGGGGAGUACGGUCGCAAGACUGAAACUCAAAGGAA
rnacentral:rRNA from 1 species